rnacentral:tRNA from 1 species
UUAAUUGAAACCAAGCCCGAGGUCUGUCACUGUUAAUGACAAUAUUGAGAUUAAUCUCCAAUUAAA